rnacentral:rRNA from 1 species
AUUGAACGCUGGCGGCAUGCUUUACACAUGCAAGUCGAACGGCAGCGCGGGCUUCGGCCUGGCGGCGAGUGGCGAACGGGUGAGUAAUGCAUCGGAACGUGCCCAGUAGUGGGGGAUAGCCCGGCGAAAGCCGGAUUAAUACCGCAUACGACCUGAGGGUGAAAGCGGGGGACCGAAAGGCCUCGCGCUAUUGGAGCGGCCGAUGUCGGAUUAGCUAGUUGGUGGGGUAAAGGCUUACCAAGGCGACGAUCCGUAGCUGGUCUGAGAGGACGACCAGCCACACUUGGAAUGAGACCCGGCCCAGACUCCUAAGGGAGGCCGCAGUGGGGAAUUUUGGACAAUGGGGGCAACCCUGAUCCAGCCAUGCCGCGUGCGGGAAGAAGGCCUUCGGGUUGUAAACCGCUUUUGUUCGGGAAGAAAUCCUCUGGGCUAAUACCCCGGGGGGAUGACGGUACCGGAAGAAUAAGCACCGGCUAACUACGUG